GGAGGAGCUGAAGGAUGGCGAGCCGUUGCUGAGAGUUGGGACACGCUACCCGUCGCUUCAAACACAGCUGCUUCUGAUACACCAGCCCGUAAUUAAUCUGAAGCCUUUAAACCCUGCCGAGAAAGGAGUGGAACUAAAAGUGCGCAGUUGUCUCUCGUCGCUGCGAGGGAGAUCUCUGGCAUAUUUGCACGAAUCUCCUUUCCUUUCUGCCCUCUUGCUUUGGAAUACUACAGGUAAGCACUCAUGGGUAGCCUGUGUGUUUGGGCUGUGGCCGCUCUGCUGGGCACCUCAGGGUGCUGGCUGGCUGAAGGGCUCAAGACCAGCAGGAGAGGCAGCGUUCAUUCAGCUGCAAUGCCACGUAGCUCCUCCCAGGAACCAGACCCCAUGGAGAAGGGGAAAGCAGACGGGAACAUCGAUCAAU